CCUCAUCCAUCUCUGGUCCUCCACCUCCUCCUCAUCCACCUCCUCCACCGCCGCCAUUGCCGUCGAUAAGAUGUCCUCCUCCACCAUCUCCUCUCUGCUCUCUGCGACCUUAUUGCCUUCUUCUCCGAUCCCACCAUCGAGGACCCUGAGAAGAGCCGCCUCCUCGUCGUGGGAGGCCUCGUGGCCGCCCUCGCCACCC
rnacentral:lncRNA from 1 species